UGGCAACUGCCACAGCCCAUGCUGAGUGCUCUCUGUGCUGGGUGGGCACACUGCAGACGUAUCCAGGAACAAGCCUCUGAAGGCCUGGUAAUGGAAUUGCAAAAAUCUGAAUGAAUUGUCUGAUGCAUCAUGACUAAGCUUGCAAUGUGCCAAGUGUCCCCCAGGAGAGACCCUUGGACAGCAGGCCUGGAGUGCAGGACUGCACGUUGGAGACUGUUCCCAGGGAGAGCCACGGAUAAAAAGACUGAAGAAGAGGGAUUUCUGCCAGAAGACUGCCUUCAGACUCAUACUGCAACAUCAGCUCUUUUCUGAGCCUCC